rnacentral:rRNA from 1 species
UACGGGGGGGGCGAGCGUUGUUCGGAAUUAUUGGGCGUAAAGGGUGCGUAGGCGGUUUGGUAAGUCUCGUGUGAAAUCUCCGGGCUCAACUCGGAGCCUGCACGAGAAACUGCCGGGCUUGAGUGUGGGAGAGGUGAGUGGAAUUCCUGGUGUAGCGGUGAAAUGCGUAGAUAUCAGGAGGAACACCUGUGGCGAAAGCGGCUCACUGGACCAUAACUGACGCUGAUGCACGAAAGCUAGGGGAGCAAACAGG